UACAGAGGGUGCAAGCGUUGUUCGGAAUCAUUGGGCGUAAAGGGCGUGUAGGCGGUUUGUUAAGUCAUGUGUGAAAUCCCUCGGCUCAACCGGGGAACGACGCAUGAAACUGGCAAGCUAGAGUACCAAAGAGGGUGGUGGAAUUCCCGGUGUAGCGGUGAAAUUCGUAGAUAUCAGGAGGAAUACCGAUGGCGAAGGCAGGUCUCUGGGCUGACACUGACGCUCAUGCACGAAAGCGUGGGGAGCAAACAGG
rnacentral:rRNA from 1 species